rnacentral:rRNA from 1 species
AUUGAACGCUGGCGGCAGGCCUAACACAUGCAAGUCGGACGGUAACAGAAAGCAGCUUGCUGCUUUGCUGACGAGUGGCGGACGGGUGAGUAAUGUCUGGGAAACUGCCUGAUGGAGGGGGAUAACUACUGGAAACGGUAGCUAAUACCGCAUAACGUCGCAAGACCAAAGAGGGGGACCUUCGGGCCUCUUGCCAUCGGAUGUGCCCAGAUGGGAUUAGCUAGUAGGUGGGGUAACGGCUCACCUAGGCGACGAUCCCUAGCUGGUCUGAGAGGAUGACCAGCCACACUGGAACUGAGACACGGUCCAGACUCCUACGGGAGGCAGCAGUGGGGAAUAUUGCACAAUGGGCGCAAGCCUGAUGCAGCCAUGCCGCGUGUAUGAAGAAGGCCUUCGGGUUGUAAAGUACUUUCAGCGGGGAGGAAGGGAGUAAAGUUAAUACCUUUGCUCAUUGACGUUACCCGCAGAAGAAGCACCGGCUAACUCCGUG